rnacentral:lncRNA from 1 species
CGGGAGAGCAAAUGAUAAACUCUGUAUAGAUAGAGAAAAGACUGCUCAAAGUAUCAUUCCAACUUUUCAAAACAAACAAGAAUAAUGCACAUUUUUGCUUUCACUUAGAUGUGAAUUGAAUCGGUUAAACACAAUGGAUAUUUUCAAGCAAAGAUGGCCCCAAUUUGCAAUUUAUCAAUCAAUGUGACUGAUUUUAUUUUGGGGUUAAGUGAAGGUAUCUCAUUGGGCCUUUUGAGUGACUAUUCACCUCUUUUCCUGAGCACUCUUAUUGUAUGACUCGGAUUGCCAAUCGAGUGUAAGGAUUUUAGGAGAGUAUACACUUGUGAAAUUCAGGCUGGAGGUUGAAAAAAUCUCAACUUAGUUUUAUUUUUCAAAAUUCAUCAUGAAAUCUCCAAUGAGUAAGAAUAAAGAAUGAAAUGUACAUAAAUAUACACAAAACAAUGAUUGUCCAAAAUUUUACUACUGAAAAAGUUUGAAACAAAAUUUCUCAUUCAAUUACGAUACAAAUGAGAAGAGAGAAACUUGUAAAGAGCUCCACAUAUACACUUUUUGUCUCCUUUUCUUUUGAAACAAAAUGUAUUAACAAAUCAAAUAAACAGAAUUUCCCUUUGGAAAACAAUUACAACAUCUCUCAGAGGCUUUAGCGUAGAACUUCCAGAUAGAUCAUUUAUGUUUUCAUUGUAGGAUCUGCCCAAGAAUCAAAUAACACUUGUAAUCUUCAAACUUUAUUGGAUUAAAAUUAGCAUCAGAUAUAGAAGAAUAUUUUCGUCUUAUUGAAACAUUUUUAUGAAUGCAGAGGAGGGGGAAAACAAAAGAAAAAUACCCAAAGUUAGUAGGCAAAACUGCAAAAUCGGUAUGCAUGUCCUAUGGGGGGAGCCCUUUUUGUGCCAAUGGUAGGCCUAGCAUGAAAAUGCAAUCCUCUGAGGUAGGCACUAUACCAUACCUGAUGGAUCUGAUCAACUCAUUGAGUGAAAAUAAUUUUUGAAAAAUUUGGUCAAUCGGAGUGACGAGAGUCACUUGUCAAAACGAGGACCUCGUCCGGAGGGAUUGAUCACUUUUGAUUGAUACAAGAAUUUGCAAAAACGCACAAGUUUGACCUUGACGAACUUCCUAUCGAAGAGAUUGGAAUUCGUUUUGACAACUUUUCUUAGUGGAGCACGGGUCAAAACUCCAACUGAUCAAAUGGCUGGAUACAAUGGAUGGUUUUCUCAAAAAUCGACUAAAUUUCCCAAUUUGAAAUUGACAUUGAAACCCUGAUUAGUCAAAUGGGUUGAAAUUUUGUGAUUUUCACUUGUUUACGCGCGUUGGUGUGUUCCGGAACGUCUUAGAUCGACGUCAACUGAUCUGUAGUCCUGGCGAGAGCUGGGCAGGCAGUCCGCUAACCCCUUUGGUUCGCCUUAGGGGAAGGGGGGCUGUUACAAGUGGUAUCAGAGCCACUUCGUGUGGUCUCUGCGGUGAGUGAGACUGGGCCAAGUGGUGUUGUGGUCCUAAUUUCAUGAAUAUGUCUAAGUGCUCGUUUGAGCAUAAGUUAUGAACCGGGCAUGCGAUAAGUGUACGAAUCAUUAUCAGGGGACUCGAGGAAGCUAGGUAUGUAUGUCGGGUAGGAAUCUUUAAUAAGGAUGGUUUACUCUUGGGACCGGCCGGCUCGAGUUGUGAAUUAUCUUAGAUAGGAUUCUUGCGCCCGGAUACGAAAGAUAUGAGGGCCUAGGUUAGAAAGGAUUUGGUGAACUAGAAAGGCCAUUCCUCGGUGGAUCGUUUAUGUUUGUACUUGACUUAACUGGCUGUAUAUAUAUGUGUGGCUUAAUUUUGACCGGCUUGUAUAUAUAUGUUUUGAUCUUGUUUGGAAUGUAUAAAUAUGUGUUAUUAUAAAAGUUUUGAGUGUUACUCACAUGCAUCGUGCUUAUUUUGGUUUAGUAUUAUUGCCUAAACCAAGUAAAACUCAUGGAAGGUACACGGAAUGGUCAGGGACGUGGGCGCGGAACUAGACAACCCACACCGUUAGGGGUACAGGGGAAACCUCUACUGGACCCAAUCUGGAACCGCAAGUAAACCCUAAUGUGCAAAUCCAGAAGAGCACCACUUACACUACUCUCCGUCCACCAUUCACACCCCCUACUGGGCCCAAAAUCCUCAAUAAACACGGGUGGUAAUACUCGAGUAUAUCGAUUAGUCGAGGAGAUAUCACCCCACUCGACAUAACUAACGACCCAUGGUUCGUUAUCUAAUCGACCAAACCCUUGCCAGCUUGACUCGAUUAACUAGCCAAUGGGGUUUGGGUCCCUAAGAAGUCGAUGAAAUAACCUCUCCAAUCGACGGAAUUAAGAUAAAAGUAUGGAGAUGGGAAUGAGAGGCACCUCCCACUCGGAUUGAGCAUGGUACAUACUGUCACUCCACACUUACAAAUCAAGUACAAGUAUAUCAACUUAAUUGCAACAAUAAACAAGUAUAGAUCAUGUUUGGGCAAGUGCAAUAAAUUACACUAUUGCCCGAUCAACAAAUCUCAUAUCAAUUAUGUACAAGUAUUAUGAACAAAUGUCCAGGUCAACCAGGUAUUUGGAAACACUCACCCAAAAUGCGGUGCCUUUAAGAGUUACGUUCGGGUAUUACUCCGUGUUCGGAGUCCAAAUCUGCGAUAAAACAUUGUUUAAGAACUUUUAAAAGUAACUAAGGUUCGAAACUUAAACGUUUCGUUCAAUAAGAAUCAAGAAAUUGAAAUUCACUUGAAGAAUAUUCGUGAAACACUCACUCGCUUUUCAAACUAUAUAACAUUGUAACAUUAUACUUGGAAAUGACAGAAUCAAACUAACGACAUGUGCGGAAAUGAGGUUUAGCAAAAGACAGAUUUGACGUGUUUUUACGUAAUGGAUACAACCAAAGCUACGCUUAUCGUAUUGGGGUGCAACUUAUACCGUACUGAAUCUAAGACAAAGGGCAACAAUUUUGAUGAAGACCACUUAGUCCAAAUUCCAGUGUAACCUAGUCAAAUUCCCAAUUCACAGAACCAAAUUCCAACUAAUAGACCAGUUUAACCACACUACCUUAAAAUGGCCAUAUCUCAAGCUACCAAAGUCCGUUUAAGACUUUCUUGGAGGCGUUGAAAAGCUAAACCAAAGUACUAAAACUUUCAUGUUUUAGAUAAAAGCUAGUUCAGUACGUAUCAAGGUGAAAAAACUCAACUAACUUAGUGUACUGUCUAAACUGUCCACUGACUUUACUCCUAUGGCAGUCAGGGUAUUUUCGUAUUUUCACAGGCUACGUUAAUCCGAUUGAGCUAAAAUUUUGUAGGUAAUAAUAAAAUGUCAUUCUAUACAACUUUCAUGUUUUGCAUGAAGCCUGAUUCAGCCUCUAACAUGAUGAAAUAGAAUCGGGCAGAACUGAAGCUAAAUUUUCCAGAAAUCUGGAAUUUUGGUAUAUUCAAGCUAUAAUUCACAUUUUUACCUUGAAACUACCACUACUUUCACCUUUACAAGAUCAUAUGCCAUAUAUAUAUAUCAUACAGCACCUAACCCACAAGAAACCCUAACUCAAAAGUCAUCCAUCUAACUAUCAAAAUUACUUGAAACAAGCAUCACAAGCAUAAUACCAACAUUAAUACCUAACUUAAUCAUGAUUAAUGGAGAAAGAAUGGUUGAUCAGCCAUUAUACCUCAAGACACAAGCUUGCAAGUAUGAUCCUUCACCUCUCCUUGAAAUUCUUGGUUCCUUAAGCUUCCCAAGCUUCCAACUAGUGAUUAAUCGAUUUAGUUUUUCUUGGUUGCACUCAAAUGGUUGGAUUCAAGGUAGAAGAUUGAAAACUCUCCUCACUCUCUUCCCUCUCCUUGCUCUCGACCAAACCAGAAAAAAAAUGAGGGAAAAUGAAGCAAGAUGAGAGAUAAGAAGGCAAGACAAAUGGUUGGUCAAGACACCAUAGGUGGUUGACACUUGUCACCACCAAAACCAUCCAAAUUUCUCUUUCUUUUCCUUGUAUUUUGGCCACAAAUUUUCAGCCAUAUGGAUGAGGAUGAGGGGGGGAUAUUUUGCAAAAAUAUCAAGGGUAUGUGUCACUAAGGAAGUGGUGGUCAAGUGGUGGGUUUAAUCGAUAGUGAUCGAUACCCAUCGGUUGGAGCCGAUUUUUCUUAAAUCGCAUAUACUAGGGUUUUUACCUUCUAAUCACUAUCUUUAAUCGAUAGUGAUCGAUACCCAUCGGUUGGAGCCGAUUUUUCUUAAAUCGCAUAUACUAGGGUUUUUACCUUCUAAUCACUAUCUUGUUUGUGACAGCCCCACCUUCCCCUAAGGCGAACCAAAGAGGUUAGCGGACUGCCUGCCCAGCUCUCGCCAGGACUAACAGUGCAGUUUAGAGCGAUCUAUUGCGUUCCGGAACUUAUAAACGCGCGUAAACAAGGUAAAAGGGCAAAAUAACCCAAAAUAAAAAAAUGAAAUUCGGAGUCGGCCAUGAAUAGUAACCGACCCGUCAGAACGCAACCAAAUAUCGAACAAACAUUCACAUCUUGAACUUUAGCAAAUACAAUCCAAAGUGACAUACAAAGUUGUCAAAAGUGAAUAUAUACACGGUUUGCCAAAUUGAAAGUGAAAACGGCCCUAAAGAUACAUUUAGGGUUUCACUUCAUAUACAAUCCAAAAAAAAAAUACAUCUAGUUCAUUCGGCAACCAUCUAUCAAGAUUCAUUCCAAAAAGUGUCAUAUUCCUGUAAGGAAAACAAAAGGAACGGUGUGAGCUAAUUGCCCAGUGAGAUACUAUCACUUACGCAACCAAUUGCAUAUAAGCAUCAAGCUUUCAUUCAAUAUAGUAAAAUAAGCAAAGGCACACGUCAAAUAUGGUGAUAAAAGGAUACAGAUGGCUCUCAAGAGCCCUUUUCCUCGUUUGCAUUUCUUGAUCGAACGUCAUUGACUCUCCGUCAAUGUUCAACAAUAACCAACCGUAGACUCCACUUUACUUCCAUUCCUUCCACCUAACAUUCCCCAACCGGGCCCGAAAUCCAAACACUUGCAUUGUGGUAUUACUCGAGUAAACCGGAAUCGAGAGUCUCUCAUACUACAAGAUUCCAUAUAACAUUGCCCCAAGGCACAUUAAUUGGCACGACCAAGCCCUCGCCGGCUCGAUUCAAUCAAUUACCAAUGGGGUUGAGCUCAAGGAUAACAAUUGUAGUCGUUGGAGACUCGUCCAAACGACACCAAGUCAUGUAUUUCAUUUCAUAUAACAUUUCAUAUAACAUUCCAAUAACUUUCCAAUAACAUGCGAAACAAUAAGUGAGAGUGAUAAAGUACACUCUCACUUCAAUCAAUUAACAUUCAACAUCUCAAGUUCAAGUAUCAAAGUCAUAUAAUAACACACAAGUGAGUAGUACACUCACCAAGCUCGCAAAUGUGGUUUCAUGCACUUCCGUCAAAAGAACGUUGUGCACCACGGUCACGUCCUAAAACAUGCAAACAAAUACAAUGAGACUCGAUAACGAGUCAUAAACCAAGGCCAAACAUGACCCCAAUAGGGUUCCAUAAGCAUAUACAAACAUUAAAGGAAACCAGAAAUUUCGGAAAUGUAACUAGCUUUGGCCCUGAAAAAAAAAGUUUUUGUCCUCAUUUUACGGUAAUGGCACCAAUUUCACUACGAUUAUCGGAUGAGGGUACAAGACCCACCAUUUCGAAGCUAAAAGACAGGGCUACAACAUCACAGAAGGUCACUCAACCCAGUUUUGAGUGCAAACAGGUCAAAAAUGCAAGAUACUACAUCAAAAACGUAAAACAGAUUCACCAAAACAUUCUAGCGGAAACAUCAUAACUCAGGCUCUCCAAGUCCAAAUCCAGAAAUUCCAAAACCAUCUGAAAGCUAAGAAACAGGGCUAAAUUUCAUCAGAAGGCCUCAACAACCAAUUCGGAAGCAAUUCCAGCCAAAACAACCAAUUACAGGCGCAAUUCUUACAUUCGGGUAAAACCAGAACAGCAAUAGUAAUUUCGACUUUUCUCAUUCUACACUACUCCGAUUGACCUGAAAUUUUGUACACUCUAAAAUGUCAUUCCCUACAACUUUCAUGUUUUAAGCUAAGGCCAAUUCGGCCUCUAACUAGGAGCUAAAAAUUCGGGCAGAAUGCUCCCUCAAGAACCCUAAUUUUCUGAAAUUUCUUCCAAACCAGAAAUUGGUUGCAAUUAAUCACUUUUUCCACCUCCUAGAGUCAUUAUAUACCAUUUCUAAUCAUCAUAGAUAGCCACACAAUCAUGCUUAUAUUAAAACAGAAAAAUCCCCAAAAAUAAAAAACUUCAUCACUUCAACCACAAAUCAAGAAAUAACCCAUAAACUUGCAUCUCAUACUACCACUAAGCAUGAUUUAAGCAUCAAUUAAGGGAGGAGGGUGGUUCUUCACAACUUACCUUAAAACAAGAGAGAGAGAGAGCUAUUGGACACCUUAACUUUCCAAAUAACUUCACACAACAACUCACCAACACCUCCUUAAGUGGUUUUAUGGACAAAUCAAGGUUGGAUGGUUUUGGUAGAUUUGAGAGAUGGAGCAAGCUUGAAGAGUUUUCUUCCUUUGCUUUGUAGAGAGAGAGGAAGAUGAGAGAAAGAGUGAAUUUUUGGUCAUUUUUUAUUUUAACCAAAUGGUAAAAGCAUGAAUAGUGUCAAAAGUUCAACCACUCCAAAUGGUGACACUUGUCACUUCAUUAAAGCAUCUCUAUUUUUGUUCUCUCACAUCAAUCCACAUAUCACCUCUAUUAUCUCUUAACACCCGUAAAUUAAUUCCAGUAUCCAAAACUUAACCUAGUUGGCCGAAUUUUUCCGAACUUUUGCACUAGUGGGUCCCACGUCCGGUAUACGCUCUUAAUUUCUCAAAACCUAUUCGAUACUAGAAAAAAUCAUCUAAAAAUUAUAUCUGCUCCUUAAAUUCAUCUAGAAUUUUUCCUAAGCACGAAAAUGCAGAAAACAAGCCAUGAAAAAUAUAAAACCUAGAAAAUGAAAAAUACGGGUUCUCACACUCUCUCCCCCUUAAAAGAAUUUCGCCCUCGAAAUUUCUCACCUUAAUUCACGAAAAGGUUAGGGUAUUUCGUUCGCAUCUCCUCUUCCACUUCCCAGGUAGCUUCCUCUACCCCAUGGUUUCUCCACAGUAUCUUCACCAAUGGAAUCUGCUUGUUUCUUAGCUCUUUGACUUUUCGGUCAAGCACUUGGACAGGUUUUUCUUCGUAAGCAAGCGAUUCGUCUACGUCGAUCUCCUCUGGUUGUAAGACAUGGGUUGGGUCGGGAUAGUAUUUCUUUAGCAUCGAGACGUGGAAAACGUCGUGAAUUCGAGAAAGACUGGACGGCAGCUCUAAUCGAUACGCUACCGUUCCUACUCUUUGGAGAAUCUUGUAGGUCCAACGAACCGCGGUUGGAGCUUCUUUCCUUUGCCCGCUGUGACACUUCGUAAAGGUGUGACUUUAAGAAAUACAUGUCUCCAACCUCGAACUCCAAGUCUUUUCUUCGAUUGUCUGCGUAGCUCUUUUGUCGGCUUUGAGCUGUUUGGAGUCGUUGCCGUAUCAACUUGACCUUUUCUCGAGCUUCCUCCAUCCAAGGAAUAGUGGUUGGAUCUAAUGUCUUCCUCUCGCCAACUUCAUCCCAGUAAAUUGGUGAUCGGCAUUUUCGUCCAUAUAAUGCUUCAUAUGGAGCCAUUUGAAUCGACGAAUGGUAGCUAUUGUUGUAUGCAAACUCUACUAAGGUCAUGUGUUGACCCCAGUUGCCUCCAAAAUCCAGAAUGCAAGUUCGUAGCAUGUCCUCGAGAGUUUGAAUGGUUCGUUCUGAUUGUCCAUCCGUCUGAGGGUGAUAGGUUGUGCUCAAGUUGAGUUUCGUCCCUAGAGUCUCCUGGAACUUUUGCCAAAACCGAGAUACAAAACGUGGAUCUCGAUCAGAGACGAUACUGACUGGAACGCCAGUGUAGCCUUACGAUCUCGUUCAUGUACAGUUGAGCCAACUUGUCCAUGGAAUACUUCAUGUUCACCGGCAAGAAAUGGGCCGACUUGGUUAAUCGAUCGACGAUCACCCAAACGGCAUCGUGUCCUCGCUGCGUUGCGGCAAACCUGAAACGAAGUCCAUGGUGAUGUUUUCCCACUUCCAUUCAGGUAUCUCCAGGGGUUGUAACAAGCCGAUGGUUUUUGAUGCUCUGCUUUAACUUGUUGGCAAACGAGACAUUUUUGCACGUAUAGAGCAAUUUCCUUCUUCAUAUUGUCCCACCAAUAAUUUCCUUUCAGGUCUUGAUACAUCUUACUACUACCCGGAUGGAUUGUAUACUUGGAUCGAUGGGCUUCCUCUAGAAUCUCCGUUUUCAACGAUUCAUCCUUCGGCACCACUAUUCGGUUUCGGUAUUUUAAAAUACCCUCAGGACCAAAAUUGAAAUCAGUGGUUUCUCCUUUUCCCACUUUCUCUCCCAUUUCUGCACCAGUGCAUCUUCCUUUUGAGCUUCUUUAAUCCUUUCCAAGAAGGUAGAAGUCACUUUAAUAUUGCCAAAAAUCACCUUAUGGCUCCCAGGGCAGGGUUUCCAUUCACACACGGAGUCUAACAAUUCCCACUCUUUGAUCAUUAGACUCGCGACCUGAGCUUUGCGACUUAGGGCAUCGGCCACCACGUUUGCUUUUCCGGAUGGUAGUUGAUGGUACAGUCGUAAUCCUCCAAAAAUUCCAUCCACCGUCGCUGCCUCAUGUUUAAUUCCUUCUAUGAGAAAAGAUACCUCAGGCUUUUAUGAUCGGAGUAAACCUCGAAAGUUACUCCAUAUAAGUAGUGCCUCCACUUCUUCAGAGCAAAAACAACUGCAGCUAGCUCCAGAUCGUGGGUCGGGUAAUUUUGCUCGUGGGGUUUUAACUUCCUCGAGGCAAAAGAGAUCACAUUUCGGUUUUGCAUUAAUACACAACCCAGGCCUUCUCGGGAUGCAUCAGUGUACACAGCAUAUCCGUCCACCCCGUUUGGUAAGACUAGAACUGGAGCCAUGGUCAAUCUUUUCUUUAAUUCCUGAAAACUUGUCUCACUUCGGGCGUUCCAUAAGAACCGACCAUGUUUCUUCGUCAAAUCGGUUAGAGGACCGGCUAGUUUGGAGAAGUCCUUGACAAAAUGCCGGUAAUAUCCAGCCAGUCCUAGAAAGCUGCGGUGUGAGAACCCGUAAAACCCUAAUAUUUUUUCCUAGGGUUUAUUACCCCAUAAUUGCAUAAUUUUUUUUUGCAUUUUCUGGCUUAGAAAUAUUUUUCUGGUAGAUUUUAUGAGCAAUUAUAGUUUUUAGAUGAUUUUUCUAGCAUUGGUGAAUUUUUAGAAAAUUAGGAAUAUAUAUUGGACGUGGGACCCACUAGUGCGAAAAGUUCGGAAAAAUUCGGCCAAUAAGGUUAAGUUUCGGAUACUGUGUAAAAUUUAUCGGGUGUUAAGAGAUAAGUAGAGUGUGUGAAAUGAUUGAUGUGAGAGAGAAAGAAAGGAUAGGAAUGCAUUAAUGAGAGUGACAAGUGUCACUUUCUCAUUGGGUGGACUUUAAGAAUUACUAUUCACUUUCUUGACUUUUUUGACCAAAGGAUUAAAAAUCAAAAAAUUGCACAAAAUUCACCAUUUUCUUCUCCUUGGUGGCCGGAUCUCCCUAGCUCAAGAAGGAAGGAAAUUUCUUCAACUUUCAAGCUUCCAUUUCACUCAAUCUUCGAAGAACAAAAGCCUACACUAGAUUCCACUCCAUAAAAUCUUUCCUUCUAGUGCUAGUAAGUGUCUUAGUGAAGUUUGUUUGAAGGUCUAAGGUGGUCAACAUCCCUCUCUCUCUUGAUUUCUUGGUAAGUGAUGCUUGAACACCCUACUACCUCUAAUGAUGCUUAUCUUGUGCUUAAUGGUGGCAUGAGUGAUGGAAUAUGUGAUUUAUUUCUUUAUUUGAAGUGAUUUGGUGAAGUUUUCCAUUUUAUGAUGAAUUUUCUGGUUUAAUAUGAAUGGGAUGUUAUGGCCUUGUAUGAUGAAUGGUAAUGGUUUAAAAUGACUCUAGUGGGUGUGAAUUGUUGCUAAAUGCAACCAAUUUUGGAUUUGGAGUGAAUUGUGAAAAGUUAGGGUUUGAAAACCCCUAAUUCUGUCCGGUUUUGGAUCAUAGGGUUAGAGGCCGAAUUGGACUUUGCUCAAAACAUGAAAGUUGUAGGUAUUGAUGUGUUUGAGGUGUCUGUAAAAUUUCGGGUCAUUUGGAUUCGUGUAGAGUGAGAUAUGACGGAAUUACUAUAGCUGUUCUGCUUUGGACAGAAUGCGAAAUCUGCACUGGUAAUUGGCCAUUUUGACUGGAAUCGGUUUGGAUUUUGUUGUUGGUGUCUUCUGAUGAAAUGUAGCUGGAUGUCUUAGCUACCAUAUGCCUUUAGAAUUUCGGCAUUUGGGCUUGUAUGGACUGAGUUAUACGGAUUACAGUUUUGUGUGAUUUACAAACCUGUUUUGGUCAUUCUGGUUUAGAAUUUGGCAUUUUUGACCUAGUUAAGCUAGGAACUGGAGUGAGUGACCUUCUACAUUAUUGUAGCCCUGUUUCAUAGCUUCGAAACGGUGGGUCUUACACCCCCAUCCGAUAACCGUAGUGAAUUUGACGCCAUUACCGCAUAAUAAGGGCAAAACAGUUUUUCUAUUCGGGCUAAGACUAAAGCUAUCUCUAAUUUCUGGUUUGCUAUCAUGCUUAUUUAUGCAUAUGAAACCCUAUUGGGGUUGUGUUCAGCAUUGCUAUAUGACUUGUUAUCGAGUCUCAUUGCAUUUGUUGCGUGAUUCUAAGGCGUGACGGUAGUUCACGGCGGAUUGGUGACCACGGUGUAUGAAACACCACUUUCUUGCUUGGUGAGUAUACUACUCACUUAAUUUUUACUAUGUGGCUUUGCUAAAUGUAUAUGUGAUGCCUUGAAGGCUUACUUGGAUAUUGGAAUUGAUUAAGGUGAGGGUGUACUUGACCGCCCUCACCCCUUUUGAUAGUAUCACUGAUUGGCUACCGUUUUACUGCAUUACUGAACUUGAUAUAUUGGUUGGUGAAUUCCAUUUCAUGGAAACUGCUUUGGUGUCGUUUGGACGAAUGUCCAACGGCCUUACUGUAUUACUGAGCUCAACCCCGUUUGGUAGUCAAUUGGAUCGAGCCGGCGAGGGCUUGGUCGUGAAAAUUGUCAUGCCACGGGGAUUGUACUGAGGAACCUUGUAGUAAUGAGACUCUUGGUUCCGGUAUACUCGAGUAUUACCAAAAGCUACUGAGAUGAAGUACGGGCCCGGUUGGGGUAUGUUUGGUGGAAGGAUUGGAAGUAAAGGGUGGUCUACGGUUUUGUACUUUUAACAUUGACGGAGAGUCAAUGAGGUUGGAUCAAGAUUGCAAGCGUGGAAAUGGGCUCUUGAGAGCCCUCCGUAUCCUUUUCUGACUUUUUUACUUUUAAAUUGUGCACUUUAAAUGAAAGUUCAUUCUUAUGUGACUUUGGUUGCUUAUGUAGUGGUAUACCACUGGACUUUAGCUCAUUCCGUGUUAUUUGUUUUUCCUUACAGGGAUAUAAUUACUUUUGAGAAUGGAUUGGAUAGUCAAUUGCCAAGUUGGGCAUGUAAAUGUCUUUUGUAUAGCUCUAGAAAUGAAACCCUAAUGUGUAUCGGGUUCAUUUCCUUUUGAUAGGCAAACCAAAUAUGUACUUCCAUGAUGAAUGGUUUUGGUAUGCCCUUUUGGCUUGUAAAUGGUUAAUGUUAUGUUGUAUAUGUAUUUCGAUUUGGUUGGGUUUCGGACGGGUCGGUUACUAUUCAUGGCCUGUCGCGCCCCAUUUUUUAUAAAUAAAUAAAUAGUAAAAAAAAUGUAUUUGUGUGUGAUUGAAAAAUGAAUUGUGGUUUAAAAGAAAAAUGGGUCUAAAUGGGGAUUUGAGAAUGCGACGAUUUGACCCAAAAAUUAUAGUUUAAAAAGGGUUUUUUGAAAUGAAAAUUGGAGUCGCCACUUGGUAAUGAGUUAAGGUGUACCAAGUCACCAAAAAUGAAUUUUUAAAGAAAAAAAAUAGGAAAAAGUAGUAAGAAACCCCUUUUAAACGACUCCUAGUCCACGUAAACCAAAGAAAAAGGUUCGGGAGUCACAUUUGACAAAGGGGAAGGCAAGGAUAAAAUCCAAGGCACCCCUUUGACCUAGCCAAGGCUAGUUGCAUGAUUUAAUCAAAGAUUUUCUUGUUUCAACCAAAUAAUUUAUUACAUUUGGAUGCACUACAUGAAUGCAAACCCUAGACCUAGGGGGAGGGGAAAUUUCCCUUCAAAGGUUGAGUGGUGCCAAUCACAUUAAUCGUGAAAGCCCAAUAACGAUCCUUUGAAGAAGUCACGAAUAAUGCGAGUGCGAUGCAAAUGAAUGGAAUGCAUGUAUGCAAUGUGAGGACAUGAGUUUGAAAAAGUAAUAAAAGACAAGAAUGUGUAAGUGAGAGUGUGUACGUGAGUGGGCAAGGUAUGGUAUGUGAAAUGAUAAUAUGAAGUGCAUGUGUGCAAGUGUAUAAAAAGGUGCAUGUGUGCAAUUGUAUGGAAAUCCAAGUGUUUGUGUGCAAGUGCAUGAAAUAUAGUGAUAAGUGCAUAUAGGUGUAAUUAAGUGCACUUUUGUGAAGUAGAAAUCAAAAUGAACAAUAAGGAAAGGAAAAGUGAUAAGGAAAUGUGAAUUGAAAAAUGAAUAAGUGAUAAAAUGAGAAUGAAUGAACCUAAAGGAAUGCAUCAGGUUGGGUAUGGGAAUGACUCCUAACUUUUUCGACUUCGAUUUUCCCUUUGAUUAGAAAGCAAAACUAGCGUGCUAAGGCUAUCGAGUAGCCACACUCGCUCGUUUCCCUUAUCAAAAGGGGACGCUCAAGCAAAAUGAACCCUAUAGCUAGUAUGGGAUGCAAAACCUAAAGUGAGAGGAAAAGGGGUUCGAGGAUCAUGCCAAAUGAUAAAACUAAGGAAAAUGCGUGAUAUGUGGUGAACAAGCAAAUGAUGUACUAACGAGGGAAAAUCCCUAAGGGUCUAGCGUUGGACUAGCCCAUUCUAUGAAUUCCGACUAGCGUUGGACUAGUGGAAACGAUAAAAGAAGCCACAACUAGCGUUGGACUAGUGUGGUGACGUACAUUCAUCCAUUCCAUUCAUCCACACUAUAAAAAGCGAGUAGACAUGCGAAUCACUUAUAAACACGUAGCACAUAACACUUAGCAUGCUUGACUAGAUGCAAGGACCUAAUAAAGCGAUUAAACACUUAACACGUAGGCAUGCAACCAAACUAAUGAACCUAUUACAUUCACUAACUAAAACAAAAAGGGAAGGGGAAAAUGGACCAAAUUGCUCGCCAAAGCCCUAUCUAUUACAAGCCAAGAGGUGUACACAUACCCCAUUAAAAGAAUAACUUAAAUGAAAACAAAAGUAAAUGACGUAAGUAAAAGAAAUUAAAGAAAGGCUAGGAAAGCAAAGUAAACAUGUAUUUCUCACGUAGCACGUUGGUUCUCAUAGGAGAAACACAAAAAGAUAAAAGAAAUUAUACCUCCCUUGAAAUGAAGCUCUAAUGGAGUGAAAUCAACUUAUUUAUCCUCCAAAAUAAAAAAAUGGUCAAGGUACCAAUUUAUUUGGCAAAUAAUCACAAAGGAUAAAAAAUAACAUGAAUUUGAAUCAAUUAAAUCAUGUCAACGACCCACAUUUAAGAAGUAAAAGAAGAAAAGACUUGAUUGCAAAAAAUUAAUAAAGUUUUGGGGUCAAAAUUAAAGAAAAUAAAGUUCAGGGACUCAUUUGCAAUUAAAGUAAGGACCGGAUUGAAGGAAAUUGAAGAUAUCCAGGGCCAUAGUAUAGUUAAGGAGAAAUUCAGGGACUGAUUUGCAAAAUCGUUUUCUGGUUUCUUCAUGGACCAGGCUAUUGGGCCAUUUUAUUCACUUCUUGGGCCAAAAUCCUCUUAGCACAAAUCAGGACCCAAGCAAAACAGACGGGCUAGCCUACUAUUUUGGCCCAAAAUUAGCCAACCAAACAGAUGGAUCAUGAUCCUCUGGCCCAAGCCAAAAAUCCAAACAAAAGUGUUGGGCUCUAUCUUCCUAAGCCCAAACAAAGUAACCCCUUAAUCCAAAACACUUAUUUUACUAAACCCAACAAGAUAAACAAAUCAACUAAAAUUAUUAAGCCACAAUUAUGACUUGAAACAAGAAUUUAAUCUAUCCACAAAGUUACAUAAAAUAUGCAAACAGAGGAUUAAACCUAAAAAGACAAAAUUAGUUCAAUUAUCCCCAGUUUUGGGCCAUGGCAGAAUAAGGGAGAUUUGGGGGGUCAAAAAUGCAAUUUUGAAAAGAUUUUUCAUGCAUGCAACGAAGAAAACAAUUCUACAAACUGGAUUCUCCUACUACUUCACAUCUUUCUUACUGCAAUUUGCUUGGCUAUCUGAUCAUGCCAGCAAAUUCACCAAAACCCCACGGUUAUAACCAUCAAACAUCCACUAAAUCAAACACAACAAUUUGGUUGCAGGAUUCAAAUAAAAAUUUGAAUUGACCGAAAGGAAGAGGAAGAGGAAAAAUGCAGCAAAGUUCUUUGCAAUUCUUAGCUGUGCACCUUUCGGAUAUAUGGCAACAUCGACAGAAGAAAGAAUAGGAAAACUAUGGCAUGCUAAACAAACCUUCUAACCAGAGAAACGACUACCCCAAAUCUGAUGAACACAAAAUCCAGGACGCAAAUCUGGUCUGACCAAUAGCAAAAGAAAGAAAGAAAAAACGCAGCAGAGAUUCUGCAACUCAAAGCUGUCUCCUACUUCAUCUCAAAUGAGGAUUCCAAAACUUUUCAACCAAAACAAAAUCAUAACUCCAAGCCAAGCAACAAGACACAUGACUUCCACAUAUAAACAAGCUAAAACUUAAAAAGAUAUCAUGCAAAACUCUGGGCAAGUAUGCAAACAUUUGAAGAACAAAAACUGCCGCAGCUUUCAUCCAUUUCUUAUUCAAGUGACAAAAUUGGCUCCUUUCAUCUUUGUCAUGAACAAAGGAACUUAUAUACAAUCAAACCACUCCAAUGAAAUGAAUAAAUGAGUCCAAAUCAUAAAAUCAAAACAUUGCAGUUUUAUUGCCAAAACAGCCAUGGAGGAAUAGAGUACAAGAUAAAAUGUGCAUGAUCAAAAACACCCAAACAAACCUAUUUUUCCCAAAAGCCAACCUCUAAAUCUUCAAUCCAAACUUCCAAUAAACAAACCCAGAACAUCAGAACAACAUAAACACAUCACGUCAAACAUGCCAGACACGCUGCAAAUUCAGCAACCAAGAGAGAAAAAAACGGCUGCAACAAGUCAAAAGGUUAGCGCUUGUUGCAGCAAAAUCUCUCAUAUGCGCAGGUCUCUUUCUAGGAAUCCUAAUAGGCUAGACCAUGAUAAAGGAUCCAAGAACAGGGGUAUAAUAGCAUACUCAUCAGAAAUCAGCAAAAACAAACCGCAAUCAUGAAUAAACAAACUAGAAAGCUGCAAAUUCUCUCACAACCAUCACCAGAUCUUGAAGAUAAAAAUGAAAUUUUGCUAAAACCCAAAGACAAAGAUGGAUUACCUCUAUCCCAGCAAGAGUUUUGACGUGGAAUAACCCCAGGAGAAUCGUGGAAAUGGUGAAAAACCUUUGACCCGCAACUUGAAGCUCUUCCUCCUCCCGGUCUUCCCCUUGCUUUCUUUCUUUUCUGGUUUUCUCCCAGCCCUCAAAGACCCAGUCUUUUCCUUUUGUUUUGCCGCUCCUUUUCUUCUUGUCUCCCCUCUCUCUCGGCCGCUGUUUACUCUAUUCCCUCAACCUCUCUUAGCCGUCGCUCAGAUUUCCUCUUCUCGGCCGCGCCUCCAUCUCUCAGCUCACUCUUCUCCCCAGUCAGCCCGUAGCUUUCUUGAAGUUUUUUCUUCUCCAAAAACCUAGCCGCUACCCUUCACUCCUUAGCCGUUCCUCUCUUUCUUUUAGAUUUUCCGUCCGUCAAAUUCAUUCCCGUAGCUGCCUUGUGGCUUUCGUUUUUCCUCCAGCCGUUAAUGCAUCUCCCUUCGAUCCUCACCAGCCGCUAGCUAACUAACCACUCUCUCCAAAAACUCCUCCCCUACGGCUGUGGUUUCUUUUCUUAUUUAUAUCAUCAACCCCCCUCCUAAACCCUUAAAACAUUGCCACCAUAUUUGCAGCUUAAGGAGCCGCACAAGUCCUCCUUUGCAAACUGCAAAAAAUGCAGCUUGCAUGCCGCGGCUCUAUUUUUUUUUUUUUAACUUAAUAAAUACAGAAUAUAAAUAAUAAUAAUAAUAACAAAAUGACAAAACUAUGUAAUAAUAAUGAAAACAAAUAAAUAAUAAAAAAACAAACUAAACAAAUAAAAACAACAAAAAUGUCCAUUUUUCAAAUUUUCUUCAUUUUUCCUUUUUUCUCUUUUUUUUUUCCUUUUCUCAAAAUAACUUAAUAAAGAUAACUAAAGUGCCAAAAGAUUGAAUUUGAACGUAUUUUUGUGACCAAUUUUCCCUUUUUCUCUUUUUUCAUGAUUUUUCCCAUUGUUUUCUUUUCCUUUUGAGAAAUUCCAUCCUAAAGCUUAAAAAUAAAAUAAUGACAUGAAAACUAAAAAAAACGAAAAACUAAAAAUGAAUAAAACAAACAUGACAAAAACAAAAAACUAAGAAACAAAGAGUAAAUGAACUUGAGCUAAAAUUUGGUGUCUACAGUUUGCCCCUCUUUGUCUGAGUUUUGAAAAAACUUGAGACAAAGAAGUAGACACCAAAUACUUACCUGUGUUAUUCGGCUGCGAAUUACUCAAACGAUGGGGACUGACCCCUAACAGGAAAUUUUUAAAAUCGGGACUGACCCGAGACAGGAUUUAAACGGGACUGACCCGAACAGAAAUAUAAAAUUGGGAUAGACCCGAACCGAAAAUGUAAAAUGGGAUAGACCCAAACAGAAAAUGUAAAAUGGGAUAGACCCAAACAGAAACGUAAAAUGGGAUAGACCCAAACAGAAACGUAAAUGGGAUAGACCCAAACAGAAAUUUAAAAUUGGGAUAGACCCACGGGAUAGACCCGAACAGAAAAAUGAAAUUCUUAUGGGCGGGACAAAUCCAGCUGCAAUAACAAUGAAAAUAACAUGCUUUGACAAUCGGACAGUGGGAUCAAACCCGAACCUGCCGUGAUGAACUUGACUUGAUUUUUGAUUUUUUUUUCGAUUUUUUGAUUUUUUUCUUGAGAAACUUUCCAAAGAUAAUUUGCCCCAGUAUGAUGAAUUGGUCGGUGAGAUAACAUCUGAGCCUGACGGGGUGUGGACGGUCAGCGGGAUAGAACCCGGUCCUGCCGAGGUAAGCGGUCAGCGGGAUAAAACCCGGUCCUGCCGAAAGAAGCGGUCAGCGGGAUAAAACCCGGUCCUGCCGAGAGAAGCGGUCAGCGGGAUAAAAUCCCGAGGUAAGCGUGUCAGCGGGAUAAAACCCGGUCCUGCCGAAAUAAGCGGUCAGCGGGAUAAAACCCGGUCCUGCCGAAGUAAGCGGUCAGCGGGAUAAAACCCGGUCCUGCCGAGGUAAGCGGUCAGCGGGAUAAAACGGAUAAAACCCGGUCCUGCCGAAUAAGCGGUCAGCGGGAUAAAACCCGGUCCUGCCAUUCACUUGGUCAGCGGGAUUAGACCCGGUCCUGCCAAUAUUGGUCAAAAAAUUGAACUUGAUUUGUCAAAAACUAGAAAUUAAAUUUGAUUUUCCAAGAAACAAGAAUUUGAACUUGAUUUUUGAUUUUUUUUGACUUUUGAAUUUUUCUGAUUUUUCGAGAGAAUCUUUUCAAAAUAAUCUGCCCCCAGUGUAGGGCCCUUUUUCUUUCUUUCUUCUCUUUCUUCGGCAUCGGCCUCCCACAUCACCAGAUGCUUUUUCGUCGAUUUCAACUAUGAAUACCUGCACAGGGGCUUACCAAAAUAUGACAUGCACUCAAGUUUUUGUGAAAAGAAACAGCGUGAUUGAUUUGAAAAAUGCAUUAUUUUGAUUCUUGGACGAAAUCCUCAAUUGGACUACAAAAAUAUUUGCCCCUGUGUGGGUUUAUUUUGUGAAAUCUUGCAAAUAAAAAUUUUGCCCCAGUGUGGGCUCCCUUGAAUGCAAAAAUUUGGUUCAGAUGAUUUCCCAUUUAUUUGAACAAAGAGAAACAGCACUUCUAAAAUUUAGAAAAUAGUCAUAUAUACAAUGUGAAGACACUUAACGUCGAGUUUGAAAUCAUGCAGAAAUUUCAUGAUGAAUCCCUUAGAAUAACACCAAAUUCAAGAAGAUUUCUUCCUCACUUUUAGCAUCAGUGCUUAGGAUAACAGGUGACCACUUUCUGGUUAGCCCAUCUUUCAAGACUAAUCAAAUGGGCGUUAUGUCUGACUUGGAAGUGACUAAAGGAAAUGGGAGGCCAAGACUUGUCUUAUUUUGUGCCCCAAUUGUAUGUAAUCCCUUCAAUGUCACAUCUUAGUGAAAGCAAAGAGUUUGUCACCCUUUUUUUUUUCUCUUUUUUUUUUUUUUUUUUUUAAGAAAACUUAGUCAACACAUAAGUUUUAAGCUUGCAACAAAUGGGUAAAACGAUAGCUAAACAUGCGAAAACUGGUUAUACCCUUAUGAUCAUGAGUGAUCGAUGGAUUUCUUGUGAGCAUAAUACUCACUUUGGAUUGUCAUGAAGGAAUAAGUCAACGAUGGACUUUGUUAGCUUGUAAUGUGGCUCGAAACGAUAGUUGAAGGAUAAGACUUUCAAGGACAUUGCACCGAAGAUCGCAUUUUCCCAAAAUUGCCCCUAUUUUGAACUCGAAAGAUUUCAGACUUUGUUUGGAUUUUCUCAUCAUUCACCAGGGAUUUCAGCAUCGAAUUUUUCUGCAUUUUCUUUCGCCUCUUUUCUUUUCCCUCGAGCUGAUGGGUUUUCUCAUACCCGAGUAAUUCAGAAAUACAGCUAAAAUUUUCGGCAUCAGAAAUUUUCUUGACAGGGCCAUUGCAAAGAACAGAAGUCAGGACUUUCGGCUUUUGUAAUGGGGUCAGGUGGGGUGUUUAGAAGAGUCAAGGCUUGAAAGCAGAUUUCAAUAAUGGUUUAAGUAAUCUGAGAUCGCAUUGUUGUGCCAACCCUAUUUUAGGGUUAAAUCAAAAUUUUGCCCCAAUUUAUGCUCAAUUGAGGCUUUUUCUCUUUCAUUUUCUUUCUUCUUUUGAUUUUUCAGCUUUUGCCAUUCUUUUGAACUUUCACAAAAUUUGCCCCAGUUUACUUUUGUACUGAGGUUCUCUUUUUUCUUUUCUUUUGAUUUUGCGGCAUUGUCACUUUUUCACUUCUUGAAAUUUUCCUUUUCAACUCCAACUUGCCCCAGUGUGGGGUUUGCGAUUCUCAGGGGUUGCCAAAUGAAGUAUUUUAUUCUGAUGGCUCCAAAGGGAUAACUAGGGAUAGAAUGUUUGAUUGGAAAAGAAGAGGGUCUGACUUUAUUCCGUCCUUACAAUAACUCUGAAAGGAAACUUUCAUUAAUGCGAAAUUUUUUGCAUGUAUCUGAAUUACUGACUGGGAAGACCCUUAUUCAUUCAUAUUUGUGACACAUAGGCGGUCCGUGGAUAAAUCUCUUCCUUUUCUUCUUUUCAAAAUUGGAACCCAAGUGGAAUCAAAUUUUUCCAAUCUGCGGUUCCCUUUCCCCUUUUUCUUUUUUUCCUUUUUCAAAAUUCCCCAAUCUCCUUCCCCAAUGUGGGGUGCGAUCAUAUGUGCACUCGAAAAGAACCACCAAUUUUUUUUUGCUCAAAUGAGGAUGCAAGGGAUAAAUGGUGUUUAGGUCGUAGAAAUGAUGGCCAAAGUAUCAUUCUUACACCUCAUGACAAUCAGAGUAACGCAAUGCUCAUUGAAAAUCCACUCCCUUUUGAUAUUUAACAAUUUUCCAUGUAGGGUAGUGAUCAUCAAGGCGCUUAUUUGAAACGAAAUUAUUCUUUUAAAGGCUCAAACGGGAGAGCAAAUGAUAAACUCUGUAUAGAUAGAGAAAAGACUGCUCAAAGUAUCAUUCCAACUUUUCAAAACAAACAAGAAUAAUGCACAUUUUUGCUUUCACUUAGAUGUGAAUUGAAUCGGUUAAACACAAUGGAUAUUUUCAAGCAAAGAUGGCCCCAAUUUGCAAUUUAUCAAUCAAUGUGACUGAUUUUAUUUUGGGGUUAAGUGAAGGUAUCUCAUUGGGCCUUUUGAGUGACCAUUCACCUCUUUUCCUGAGCACUCUUAUUGUAUGGCUCGGAUUGC